UACGGGGGGGCAAGCGUUGUUCGGAAUUACUGGGCGUAAAGGGCUCGUAGGCGGCCAACUAAGUCAUACGUGAAAUCCCUCGGCUUAACCGGGGAACUGCGUCUGAUACUGGAUGGCUUGAGUUCGGGAGGAGGGAUGCCGGAAUUCCAGGUGUAGCGGUGAAAUGCGUAGAGUAUCUGGAGGAACACCGGUGGCGAAGGCGGCAUCCUGGACCGGCAUUGACGCUGAGGCGCGAAAGCUAGGGGAGCAAACGGG
rnacentral:rRNA from 1 species